rnacentral:rRNA from 1 species
UACGUAGGUGGCAAGCGUUGUCCGGAUUUACUGGGCGUAAAGCGCGCGCAGGCGGUCCGGUAAGUCUCCGGUGAAAUCGCCCGGCUCAACUGGGCGGGUGCCGGGGAGACUGGCGGACUUGAGGAGCCUAGAGGCCGGUGGAACUCCCGGUGUAGUGGUGAAAUGCGUAGAGAUCGGGAAGAACACCAGUGGCGAAGGCGGCCGGCUGGGGGUGUCCUGACGCUGAGGCGCGAGAGCGUGGGGAGCAAACCGG